GUAGGGAAUCUUGCGCAAUGGGCGAAAGCCUGACGCAGCCAUGCCGCGUGAAUGAUGAAGGUCUUAGGAUUGUAAAAUUCUUUCACCGGGGACGAUAAUGACGGUACCCGGAGAAGAAGCUCCGGCUAACUUCGUGCCAGCAGCCGCGGUAAUACGAGGGGGGCUAGCGUUGCUCGGAAUUACUGGGCGUAAAGGGCGCGUAGGCGGACAGCUUAGUCAGAGGUGAAAGCCCAGGGCUCAACCUUGGAAUUGCCUUUGAUACUGGCUGUCUUGAGUUUGGGAGAGGUGAGUGGAACUCCGAGCGUAGAGGUGAAAUUCGUAGAUAUUCGGAAGAACACCAGUGGCGAAGGCGACUCACUGGCCCAAUACUGACGCUGAGGCGCGAAAGCGUGGGGAGCAAACAGGAUUAGAAACCCGGGUAGUCC
rnacentral:rRNA from 1 species